GUAGUCUCGCACAGAUGCAUAUCAAUAAGCGGAGGAAAAGAAACUAACAAGGAUUCCCCUAGUAACGGCGAGUGAAGCGGGAAGAGCUCAAAUUUGAAGUCUUAAAGGGUUUCCCUUUACGAAUUGUAGUUUAAAGAAGUGUUUUCUGUUGAGGUUUUGGUAAAAGUUCUUUGGAAUAGGACAUCAUAGAGGGUGAGAAUCCCGUAUUUGACCUUUACUUUCAACUUUGUGAUACACUUUCAAAGAGUCGGAUUGUUUGGGAAUGCAGUCCAAAAUGGGUGGUAAAUUUCAUCUAAAGCUAAAUAUUGGCGAGAGACCGAUAGCGAACAAGUACCGUGAGGGAAAGAUGAAAAGAACUUUGAAAAGAGAGUUAAACAGUACGUGAAAUUGUCAAAAGGGAAGCGUUUGACACCAGUGUUGUUUUUCUGAAAAUCAAUUAAAGAACUGUUUAUGCUAAGCUGUUUAGACUUUAUCAGCUAUCUGUUUAGUUUUGAGCUUUUCUUUAAUGCACUUUUCAGUUAACAAGUCAACAUCAAUUUCUUUUGCUGUAAAAAAGCUUGAGGAAGGUGGCUUGAGAUUCGUCUUAAGUGUUUAUAGCCUCUUGCCUAUGCAGUCGGAGAGAUUGAGGUCUGCAGCGUAGAUCCUUCGGGGCUAAAUGCAUUUGUGCUAAGUUAUAGCAUUUUAUAGACAACUUGUUGACUAUGAUUUGUCUUGUAGCUUACUCGCUUAUGUUAUUUUACCUACGCUUAGGAUGUUGACGCAUGAGAUAUACGC
rnacentral:rRNA from 1 species